CCUAUUGAUUGUUAUCUAUGUCAUGCUAACAUUUCUUGGUAUAAUUCCUUAUUAGUGGGAUAGUUGGCACGACUUUGUCAACCUUGAUGGGGCUCAUGCCCAAAAGGUGAAGCCCCUUUUCAUCAGCAAGGUUAACACAGUUUUGCAGCUGGUUCUAGUUGCAGCAGCUCUACUUCAACCGGGAUUUGGAAGUGAAGAAACUCAACUUUAUAUCCAAUAUUUGAGCUGGUUGGUAGCUUCUACAACAGUUGCUUCAAGUGCGCAGCGAAUGGGGUACAACACUGGAGAAACGGAGCAAAAAGGAUAAAGUUCCGAUCGUGAAAGCAGAAACAUGUAUUCUAGGAAUGCUUUCUUCUUGUUAGAGAUUACUACAUUUUUUGUUGUUUCACUACUACAAAAGUUUACAUACAUAAUAGUACAUAGAUAACGGUUUUUUUCAAAAACCGUUAUGUAU